ACCAGACUCCUACGGGAGGCAGCAGUGGGGAAUAUUGGGCAAUGGGCGCAAGCCUGACCCAGCAACGCCGCGUGAAGGAAGAAGGCUUUCGGGUUGUAAACUUCUUUUGACAGGGAAGAGCAGAAGACGGUACCUGUCGAAGAAGCCCCGGCUAACUACGUGCCAGCAGCCGCGGUAAUACGUAGGGGGCAAGCGUUAUCCGGAUUUACUGGGUGUAAAGGGGGCGCAGACGGCGAUGCAAGCCAGGAGCGAAAGCCCGGGGCCCAACCCCGGGACUGCUCUUGGAACUGCGUGGCUAGAGUGCAGGAGGGGCAGGCGGAAUUCCUGGUGUAGCGGUGAAGUGCGUAGAUAUCAGGAGGAACACCGGUGGCGAAGGCGGCCUGCUGGACUGCAACUGACGUUGAGGCCCGAAAGCGUGGGGAGCAAACAGGAUUAGAUACCCCCGUAUAA
rnacentral:rRNA from 1 species